CCUACGGGGCGCAGCAGUGAGGAAUAUUGGUCAAUGGACGCAAGUCUGAACCAGCCAUGCCGCGUGCGGGAUGACGGCACAAUGAGUUGUAAACUUCUUUUGUCAGGGGGCAAAUGCGGGUACGUGUCUCCGGUUGAGAGUAUCUUACGAAUAAGGAUCGGCUAACUCCGUGCCAGCAGCCGCGGUAAUACGGAGGAUUCAAGCGUUAUCCGGAUUUAUUGGGUUUAAAGGGUGCGCAGGCGGUUCGUUAAGUUAGCGGUCAAAUCCCGGGGCUCAACCCCGGCCCGGCGUUUGA
rnacentral:rRNA from 1 species